ACUCCUACGGGAGGCAGCAGUGGGGAAUAUUGGACAAUGGGCGGAAGCCUGAUCCAGCAACGCCGCGUGAGGGAUGACGGCCUUCGGGUUGUAAACCUCUUUCAGCGGGGACGAAGCGCAAGUGACGGUACCCGCAGAAGAAGCACCGGCCAACUACGUGCCAGCAGCCGCGGUAAUACGUAGGGUGCGAGCGUUGUCCGGAAUUAUUGGGCGUAAAGGGCUCGUAGGCGGUUUGUCGCGUCGGGAGUGAAAACCAUGGGCUUAACUCAUGGCUUGCUUCCGAUACGGGCAGACUAGAGGCAUGCAGGGGAGAACGGAAUUCCUGGUGUAGCGGUGAAAUGCGCAGAUAUCAGGAGGAACACCGGUGGCGAAGGCGGUUCUCUGGGCAUGUCCUGACGCUGAGGAGCGAAAGUGUGGGGAGCGAACAGGAUUAGAUACCCUGGUAGUCCACACCGUAAACGUUGGGCGCUAGGUGUGGGAUCCAUUCCACGGGUUCCGUGCCGCAGCUAACGCA
rnacentral:rRNA from 1 species